AGAGUUUGAUCCUGGCUCAGGAUGAACGCUGGCGGCGUGCCUAAUACAUGCAAGUCGAACGGUGAGCAGUAAUGCUCAUAGUGGCGAACGGGUGAGUAACGCGUUGGUGACCUGCCCCAAAGACUGGGAUAACAGACCGAAAGGUUUGCUAAUACCGGACGUGUCGUGAGGGUUUAGAAACCUCACGGGAAAGGGAGAAAUCCGCUUUGGGAGGGGCCUGCGUCCCAUCAGCUAGUUGGUAAGGUAACGGCUUACCAAGGCGAAGACGGCUAGGGGGCGUGAGAGCGUGACCCCCCACAAUGGAACUGAGAAACGGUCCAUACUCCUACGGGAGGCAGCAGUGAGGAAUAUUGAGCAAUGGGCGCAAGCCUGACUCAGCAACGCCGCGUGGAUGAUGAAGGCCUUCGGGUUGUAAAAUCCUUUUCUGAGGGACGAUGAUGAUGGUACCUCAGGAAGAAGUCCCGGCUAACUACGUGCCAGCAGCCGCGGUAAAACGUAGGGGGCAAGCGUUAUCCGGAUUUACUGGGCGUAAAGCGCAUGUAGGCGGUCUGGCAAGUUGGACGUGAAAGCUCCUGGCUUAACUGGGAGAGGUCGUACAAAACUACCAGGCUUGAGGUUGGAAGAGGAGAGCGGAAUUCCCGGUGUAGUGGUGGAAUGCGUAGAUAUCGGGAGGAACACCAGUGGCGAAAGCGGCUCUCUGGUUCAAUACUGACGCUGAGAUGCGAAAGCGUGGGGAGCAAACGGGAUUAGAUACCCCGGUAGUCCACGCUGUAAACGAUGGAAACUAGGUGUAGGCGGUCAUUUACCCCGUCUGUGCCGAAGCCAACGCGUUAAGUUUCCCGCCUGGGGACUACGGCCGCAAGGUUAAAACUCAAAGGAAUUGAUGG
rnacentral:rRNA from 1 species